rnacentral:rRNA from 1 species
UAAUGUAUGGGGAUCUGCCCAAUAGAGGGGGAUAACUACUGGAAACGGUGGCUAAUACCGCAUAAUGUCUACGGACCAAAGCAGGGGCUCUUCGGACCUUGCACUAUCGGAUGAACCCAUAUGGGAUUAGCUAGUAGGUGGGGUAAAGGCUCACCUAGGCGACGAUCUCUAGCUGGUCUGAGAGGAUGAUCAGCCACACUGGGACUGAGACACGGCCCAG